CCAUUUUUUAUGAUAUCCUUAUUCUACUCUCUCCCCCGUUUUUAUUUUCUCUCCGGGCAAUUUUUGCUUCGGCGGAGGGGGAAGAAGCAGCUAGCUACCCAAAGGUGACACUCAAAUACGCUUCACCCCGCGACACAAAACAGGACCAGUGCGUGGGUGGUGGUGCGGGGGUGUGCGUGUUAAACCUCUCUGAACUCUCCUAUCCGAUGCCGUUUGUCACUAUUGCCAUGCACAAUAAGCCUGGGCCAUUCAAACCAUUGGCAACCAACCAUUUUUCAAACUGUGCUUGGGAAAACCUCUAGCGCGGAAUGGAAGAUAUCAAACCCCCCGCCGGCCGGAUUACUGAUGAGAUGACUACAUAGCCAAGAGAGACGAAGAAACCCAAAACAACCAAACCCCCCAAACCGCCAUCCCACCCCAGCAGGCGGGCCGGCAAAUCAGAAUCACACAACCACAACAGAAAAAAAAAAAAACAUUAGGUGCGAGCGAGGAAAGAAAAGGAAUCGAGGAUGCGGUGAGGGAAACGGUCUUUCUCACUUCUUCCCCUCCCCUCCCAUCCCAUCGCAUCGCAUCCCCACCAAAGAAAAAGGAAAGAGCUCAUGCAAGUCCAAUUCGGGCGGAGAUUUAUGAUUACCAGCCCAGCCCAGCCCAGCCCAGCCCAACCCGACCAACCCCAAACCCGAUCCAAAUGAAACCGGGGUUGUGGGAUCCUGCGGAAUAGGAAACAAUAUCAUAUCAGAACCAGAAGAGUGGGUAUGGGAUCUAUCAUAUGAGGGACUUAACCGCAGGAGAGAAACUUGAAGAGAGAGGAGCGGCUGGGGCUGACUGGGCUGGCUUUCCCCCUCCCCCGCCCCCCUUGUGAUGGAUGGCGGAUGAGAAUUAGAUUUUUUUUUAAAGAAAAAAAAAGAAGAAGAAACUGUCGGCGCCCCUGUCGGCACCUUAUUAAGGCCGCCCCGGUGACCUGUUGGUCAUGUGACUGUAGGUCAUGUUACCAGCGCUCACCUGUUGUUUAUAAACACCCAAAAUAGCUAGAUAGCAAUAACCAAGAAUGCACAGUAAUAGUAGAAGCAGAAUAUGUCCCCUGGUCAUUGCAGAAGAUGUUGUUUAUAUUUUAAAGAUUCUAUCAUUUCUGUUUAGAUAUCUUGAAAAACAGCUCAAUGCUGCUCAAACUGAAUUCUCAAGA
rnacentral:sRNA from 1 species